rnacentral:tRNA from 1 species
GGCCCCGUGGUCAAGAGGUUAAGACGCAAGCCUCUCACGCUUGAAUCAGGGGUUCGAUUCCCCUCGGGGUCA